rnacentral:rRNA from 1 species
GACGAACGCUGGCGGCGUGGAUUAGGCAUGCAAGUCGAACGGUAUCAUCCUUUCGGGGGUGAGAGAGUGGCGAACUGGUGAGUAACACGUAGGUUAUCUACCCUCAAGACGGGGACAACCCAGGGAAACUUGGGCUAAUACCGGAUGUGAGCAACUUUUAGUUGUUUGAAAGGUGGCGUAAGCUGUCGCUUGGGGAUGAGCCUGCGUCCUAUUAGUUAGUUGGUGAGGUAACGGCUCACCUAGGCAAUGAUAGGUAGGCGGCCUUAACGGGUGGUCGCCCACACUGGGAUUGAGAUACGGCCCAGACUCCUACGGGAGGCAGCAGUCGAGAAGGUAUCUACAAUGGUCGGAAGACUGAUAGUGCGACGCCGCGUGAACGAUGAAUCCCUUCGGGGUGUAAAGUUCUUUUAUAUGUGAGCAGUGCUUCUUAUAUUAACAGUAUGGGGAGAGAGAUAUUAGCAUAUGAAUAAGCAACGGCUAACUCCGUGCCAGCAGCCGCGGU